GACGAACGCUGGCGGCGUGCUUAAUACAUGCAAGUCGAACGGAAAGACGCUGCUCUUGUUGGGUGCACGAGUGGGGCACGGGUGAGUGACACGUGAGUAACAUGUCCUUAACAUUGGGAUAAAACUACGGGAAAGCGGAGAAUAUCGCGUAGGAUCUCUUGAUCCGCGGUGGGGGUUGGAAAGUUUCGGCGGUUGGGUAUCGAAUAGAGGCAUCUGCGCCGGAUUAGGUAGUUGGGAAGGUCACGGGUUUUCAAGGGAACGAUGCGUUGCCGACCUGCGAGGGGGGUCGGCGACCCGGGAACGGAGCCAGGGUCCAGACUCCUACGGGAGGCAGCAGUAGGGAAUCUUCCGCAGUGGGCGAAAGCAUGACGGAGCAACGCCGAGUGAGUGAUGAAGGUCUUCGGAUCGUGAAACUCUGUUAUUAGGGAUGAACAAAUGUGUAAGUAACUAUGCACGUCUUGACGGUAACUAAUCAGAAAGCCACGGCUAACUACGUG
rnacentral:rRNA from 1 species